rnacentral:tmRNA from 1 species
GGGGGCGACACGGUUUCGACUGGAUAGGUAGAUUGUGUGACUGCAUGCCGAGGAUGAUCGUUGGCCUCGUUAAUCAUCGAUUAAAACAAUAAUUGCAGAAGAGCAAUUCGCACUGGCUGCUUAAUCUCGGCCACGUUUUUACCCUGACGGACGCUAAGGGAUAAAAACGUUAGCAGCGUUCUGGCUCGUUGAUUUUGUCUUUCGGUUACGAGCGAGAUUAAAGGAAGAAUAGUCUUAAUGCAGGCCUGUCCAUUGGCUUUGCGGCGGGACGAAAAACACUGAUUAUGGAACAAGCAUGUAGACGUCCUCAUGAAUCCUUUUCAGGACGGGGGUUCGACUCCCCCCGCCUCCACCA